rnacentral:rRNA from 1 species
CUACGGGAGGCUGCAGUGGGGAAUAUUGGACAAUGGGGGAAACCCUGAUCCAGCAAUGCCGCGUGUGUGAAGAAGGCCUGCGGGUUGUAAAGCACUUUCGGUUGGGAGGACUGCUUCUAGCACUAAUAUUGUUGGAAGUUGACGUUACCUUCAGAAGAAGCACCGGCUAACUCCGUGCCAGCAGCCGCGGUAAUACGGAGGGUGCAGCGUUAAUCGGAAUUACUGGGCGUAAAGCGCGCGUAGGCGGCUAGAUCAGUCGGGUGUGAAAGCCCCGGGCUUAACCUGGGAACUGCAUCCGAUACUGUCUAGCUUGAGUACAGGAGAGGAGAGUGGAAUUCCACAUGUAGCGGUGAAAUGCGUAGAUAUGUGGAGGAACACCAAUGGCGAAGGCAGCUCUCUGGCCUGAUACUGACGCUGAGGUGCGAAAGCGUGGGGAGCAAACAGGAUUAGAUACCCCAGUCGUC